rnacentral:rRNA from 1 species
UACGGGGGGAGCAAGCGUUGUUCGGAUUUACUGGGCGUAAAGGGCGCGUAGGCGGUCAGCACAAGUCAGUUGUGAAAUCUCCGGGCUUAACUCGGAAAGGUCAACUGAUACUGUGCGACUAGAGUGCGGAAGGGGCAACUGGAAUUCUCGGUGUAGCGGUGAAAUGCGUAGAUAUCGAGAGGAACACCUGCGGCGAAGGCGGCAUCCUGGACCGGUAUUGACGCUGAGGAGCGAAAGCCAGGGGAGCAAACGGG